ensembl:misc_RNA 7SK 7SK RNA
AGAUUUGAGGGCGAUCUGGCUGAGACAUCUGUCACCCCAUUGAUCGCCAGGGUUGAUUCGGCUGAUCUGGCUGGCUAGGCGGGUGUCCCCUUCCUCCCUCAACGAUCCAUGUGCGUCCCUCCCGAAGCUGCGCGCUCGGUCGAAGAGGACGACCACCCCCGAUAGAGGAGGACCGUUCCUCGGUCCAGGGUAUACAAGUAGCUGCGCUCCCCUGCUAGAACCUCCAAACAAGCUCUCAACGUUCCCCUAAUUAUUAACCUAGAUCGUAGGAGACAUGCAUUAUAAAUAUAUCUUCAUGAAAAUUCUCAGAAAGCAUCUUUUCUAA